rnacentral:rRNA from 1 species
CAGAGGGGGCAAGCGUUGUUCGGAAUUACUGGGCGUAAAGGGCGCGUAGGCGGCCUUCUAAGUCGGACGUGAAAUCCCCGGGCUCAACCCGGGAACUGCGUCCGAGACUGGAAGGCUCGAAUCCGGGAGAGGGAUGUGGAAUUCCAGGUGUAGCGGUGAAAUGCGUGGAUAUCUGGAGGAACACCGGUGGCGAAGGCGGCAUCCUGGACCGGUAUUGACGCUGAGGCGCGAAAGCCAGGGGAGCAAACGGGAUUAGAUACCCCGGUAGUCCUGGCCCUAAACGAUGAAUGCUUGGUGUGGCGGGUAUCGAUCCCUGCCGUGCCGAAGCUAACGCAUUAAGCAUUCCGCCUGGGGAGUACGGUCGCAAGGCUG